AGUGAACGCUGGCGGCGUGCCUAAUACAUGCAAGUCGAACGAACGAAUAAGAGCUUGCUCUUAUAAGUUAGUGGCGCACGGGUGAGUAAUAUAUAGCUAAUCUGCCUCUUAGUAGAGGAUAACAGUCGGAAACGAUUGCUAAUACUCUAUACUUCUGCUUUACAUAAGUAAAGUAGAGAAGGUUUUUCGCUAAGAGAUGAGGCUAUACUGUAUCAGCUAGUUGGUAAGGUAACGGCUUACCAAGGCUAUGACGCAUAACUGGUCUGAGAGGAUGAUCAUUCACAUUGGAACUGAGACACGGUCCAAACUCCUACGGGAGGCAGCAGUAGGGAAUAUUGCGCAAUGGGGGAAACCCUGACGCAGCAACGCCGCGUGGAGGAUGACACUUUUCGGAGCGUAAACUCCUUUUAUCGGGAAAGAAUAAUGACGGUACCCGAUGAAUAAGCACCGGCUAACUCCGUG
rnacentral:rRNA from 1 species